rnacentral:rRNA from 1 species
UACGGGGGGGGCAAGCGUUGUUCGGAAUUACUGGGCGUAAAGGGCUCGUAGGCGGCCCUCUCAGUCGGAUGUGAAAUCCCCAGGCUUAACCUGGGAACGGCAUCCGAUACUGGAGGGCUUGAAUUCGGGAGAGGGAUGCAGAAUUCCAGGUGUAGCGGUGAAAUGCGUAGAUAUCUGGAGGAAUACCGGUGGCGAAGGCGGCAUCCUGGACCGAGAUUGACGCUGAGGAGCGAAAGCGUGGGGAGCGAACAGG